rnacentral:rRNA from 1 species
AACCGAGAACUCCUACGGGAGGCAGCAGUGGGGAAUAUUGGGCAAUGGGCGCAAGCCUGACCCAGCAACGCCGCGUGAGGGAAGAAGGUCUUCGGAUUGUAACCCUCUGUCCUUGGGGACGAAAAAAAUGACGGUACCCGAGGAGGAAGCUCCGGCUAACUACGUGCCAGCAGCCGCGGUAAUACGUAGGGAGCGAGCGUUGUCCGGAAUUACUGGGCGUAGAGGGUGCGUAGGCGGUAUGGCAAGUCAGAUGUGAAAUCCCCGGGCUUAACUCGGGUGGUGCAUUUGAAACUGCUGUACUUGAGUGCAGGAGAGGAAAGCGGAAUUCCUAGUGUAGCGGUGAAAUGCGUAGAUAUUAGGAGGAACACCAGUGGCGAAGGCGGCUUUCUGGACUGUAACUGACGCUGAGGCACGAAAGCGUGGGGAGCAAACAGGAUUAGAAACCCCUGUAGUCCGACUGAGA